rnacentral:rRNA from 1 species
UCGCUUAUCGACCGCGACCCC